rnacentral:pre_miRNA from 15 species
GUGUUUGCGAUUUGUUGAGCCUAGUGGUGACAUCAUACUGGACAGCAUUGGACGUGAUUGGAUCGUUCUCUAAUACUGUCUGGUGAUGAUGUUGACACUGGCUUUGUUUCAUCGUGGACCACU